CCUACGGGCGGCAGCAGUGGGGAAUAUUGGACAAUGGGCGAAAGCCUGAUCCAGCCAUGCCGCGUGUGUGAAGAAGGCCUUCGGGUUGUAAAGCACUUUCAGUGGGGAAGAAAGCCUUGGGGCUAAUACCCUCGAGGAAGGACAUCACCCACAGAAGAAGCACCGGCUAACUCCGUGUCAGCAGCCGCGGUAAUACGGAGGGUGCGAGCGUUAAUCGGAAUUACUGGGCGUAAAGCGCGCGUAGGCGGUCUGAUAAGCCGGUUGUGAAAGCCCCGGGCUCAACCUGGGAACGGCAUCCGGAACUGUCAGGCUAGAGUGCAGGAGAGGAAGGUAGAAUUCCCGGUGUAGCGGUGAAAUGCGUAGAGAUCGGGAGGAAUACCAGUGGCGAAGGCGGCCUUCUGGACUGACACUGACGCUGAGGUGCGAAAGCGUGGGUAGCAAACAGGAUUAGAUACCCGAGUAGUC
rnacentral:rRNA from 1 species